GUAGGUGGCAAGCGUUGUCCGGAAUUAUUGGGCGUAAAGCGCGCGCAGGCGGUUCUUUAAGUCUGAUGUGAAAGCCCACGGCUCAACCGUGGAGGGUCAUUGGAAACUGGAGAACUUGAGUACAGAAGAGGAAAGCGGAAUUCCGCGUGUAGCGGUGAAAUGCGUAGAGAUGUGGAGGAACACCAGUGGCGAAGGCGGCUUUCUGGUCUGUAACUGACGCUGAGGCGCGAAAGCGUGGGGAGCAAACAGGGAUUAGAUACCCUGGUAGUCCACGCCGUAAACGAUGAGUGCUAAGUGUUAGGGGGGUUUCCGCCCCCUUAGUGCUGCAGCUAACGCAUUAAGCACUCCGCCUGGGGAGUACGGCCGCAAGGCUG
rnacentral:rRNA from 1 species